AUUUGCGCCCGUCGUUUUCACCGGUAACUAAACAAAGGGCUAGACACAUGGACGUAUCUACAAGUCCUUUAUCGUAUCCAAGAUGAUGAAGCCAAAUGAUCAGAUUUUUAAUUCAAUUCAUCGCGCAGACGACCGGAUAUUGAAAUCAAUUGAUUGUAACACUAUUCAAGACGAACGUGUCAAGAAAAGGAAUACGGAGACCGGGGCGAAAGGCAGAUUUCACAGCUCUCCUGAAGAAGAUGAAAAAGAAAAUCAUUUUGAACCAAUUUCAAAACACUGCAGAACAAAUGGGGAUGUGUUGCAGAAAACAAAAUCAAGUGACAUGCAUGUUGACAGGCCAUUAACGUCGAUGAGCACUUGUGAAAAAAUGACGACAGCGACAACGUUACCGAUGACAAAUAAUAUGCAUGUCAACAGGAGAAAAAACAAGCAUCCAACCAGAAGUGCAGCCAGGCAGGAUCCUAACUUCCGGGGCGUGACGUUCCUUUUGCACACACAGUUACAGGGCUGCGACAGCCACCUUGUCAUAUCGGCUUAUUUUAGUAACAUGAAUAUGAAACCAGUGGGUUCCCAUGGCCAGGUGCGGAAUCGUCACAGCAGCUGUGGCUCUGCGACUAGUUAUCACACCGACUGCUGGAGUGGAUCGGAGGAGGACAGCCAGCUAGCCUACCAUCGGAAUGCCUACGUCGCAGCAAAGACAUGUGCAUCCUGUGCGACUCGAAGAACACCUCUGUGGAGAGAUGCUGAGGAUGGUACACCAUUGUGUAACGCAUGUGGCAUCAGGUUUAAGAAAUACAAGGUACGUUGCAGUCAGUGUUGGCACAUACCCAAAAAGGACAUCAAGACGUUCCCCAACUGUCCCAACUGUGGGGCACUUCUACGUGUGUCUGUCUGUAGGCGCAGCUGGUGACAGUGUAACCAUGGUUACAAACAGACAGAGAAAACACGGGUAGAACAUUAAUGCAGGCAUGUUAUUUUUACAUUACAAAGUAUUUUAUUAAACCCUUGUUGGAAAGAUAUAUUUGUAUCCUCAUAAAUAGAUCAGCAAUUACUUCUAAAGGUGGGAACUCAAUUGUUACUUAAAAAGGACGUGUUAGCAUAUCCAGAGUGUUUAUCACAUUAAUAAUCCAUAGGUUAUUGAUCAAACAGCACAUUGGAAGAUUAAAUUUGUGAAAGAUGUGUUGUGCGAACCCGAUAUCUUACCUAGCUGUAAUUAUAGGUUAUAUCUUACCUAGCUGUAGUUAUAGGUUAUAUCUUACCUAGCUGUAAUUAUAGGUUAUAUCUUACCUAGCGGUAGUUAUAGGUUAUAUCUUACCUAGCUGUGAUUAUAGGUUAUAUCUUACCUAGAUGUAGUUAUAGGUUAUAUCUUACCUAGCUGUAAUUAUAGGUUAUAUCUUACCUAAAGUAUAAACCAGUACAUUUGUCACAGUUUUUGUACCAUGCAAGAUAUAUCUUGGUGUAGCUAACAAAGAUGUAAAACACAGAGAUAUUUAAUAUAGACGACCUUGUUGGCUACAGUGAAACCUGUAAACUCUGACACCUUGUAGAACAUGCUAAUCAGAUAAGACUGGAUCUUAUUUGGUAGUUAAUUUGGGAUUAAGUUGGAUAAGUUGGGAUGUCUGAAUAUUAAGGUGUUGACAAGAAGAUCGAUGUCUGAGUACUUAGAAGUUGGAUUAGACAUUAUAUUGAGGUCAGAUUGGACAGUUUUUACUGUGUGAUUAUCUCACAUUAUCUCGUAUGAAGAAGAAUUCAUACCUCAAAUGUCCUUUGAUUUCUAACAUACAUUCAAAAUGUAGUGCCUUAUAAGUUAGCCAUACUUAGUUUAUGCAAGGAGAAUGAACACUAACCUAUUUCGUUAAAAUUAAACAUUGUUUUGAAGAUAUUUAUUCCUUAUUUCACAGAGGUAAAUACCUUUUCAUAUGGCAUGAUUAUAAGAUUGUAAGAUUUGAGGUGUAUUUAUAUAUAUAUAUAUAUUGUAUUAUAUAAUGGGGCCCCUAUAUAUAUCAAUAGGUGAUACUUGUGAUGUGAAAGUUUAUUUAUGUUAGGUUAAUUGUUUAAUCAACUAGCUCACUUGGCAGGAAGUACCUUCGAGGUUAUGCUGUGAUGCACUGUCUUGUUGUCUCACACCUUUUUCUGUAUAUGGCUUUUUAUUGAGAACUUAAAGGCCAAAUGUAAAGAUAUUUUAUCAAUGGCUACCCAAGAUAACUGUUUUAAAGUUUCCGUGAAUAAAUGACUUUAACCUACUUUAACAGUUCCAAUGGCAUUAUCUGAAACUUGUGAGAUCUAGAGCCUGUAGCUUGCAGGGAUAAAGAACUAUAAAUAAAAUAAAAUAAUUGACCGUGACCUAUUUCAAGGUCAUGACAUACUGGUGUGAAGUUCUAUCAAAUUGUUGGAAUAUUCCCUUGAAUUGUUUUCUCGUCGACGGGGGUAAAAUGUGUUAAAAGACUGCAUACCAGUAAUUGUGGCCUGAAGUUGGCUAGGAUAACAGGCCAUCAAAUCGGUUUAAAAAAACCUUGACUAACCUUAAAGGUCAAAAAUGUGAAAUGUGUUUGCCACCCAUUCCAUAGCAGGUGAGCUAUACAGGCCCAAUAUGCUUUUUGUUUACAAUUGUACAGAAACUAUUUAUAAAUCAUGUUAAGUUUAUUAUUCCUGAUUGGAUAGGUACAUAAUUUUGAGAUCACAAUAGAUGAUUGAUGUAAAAAAUAUAUCAUUAUUUAUUAUUUUGAAGAAGUCUGAUAUUAUUUUACAACAAUUUCUAGAUAUCAUGAUCUCUGGAUUUACGAAAUACAUCGACAUGAAAUAGAAUUAUUGUAAAGAUGUUCGUAAAUUGUUUUACUAAUACAUGUAUGUAUUUUGACAGAAUGACGAGUGUAUGAAUAAAUAUGUAUUUGUUGUAUAUGGAUAUUUCUAUAUCAUUGAUACAUAUUGGCACAAGCUAUUUAAUUAAACUACAUGCAUUACAUUACAUUGUUUGAUUAAUAUACAAUAUACAUAAACAUGUACAGUAUUUAUGAGAGUAUUAGGUGCUUUUGGCAGAAUAUAUUACGUUGAUGUAUAGAUCGAUAGACAGUUAUUUGAAAUAUUAAUAUAAUUUACCACUUAAGUUUGGUACACGUAUCUUUAACAUGCAUUUCUCAUUGUAUAGCAUACAGGUACAUGUAGUAUAACAUUAUGAGGCGAUGGUUCCUUUGGGUUGAAAAGGAUGGAUCUACAUGUACUUUCAAAUCCAAGGGUUCUCGUGGUUAACCUUGCCUGGACCUUUAUAAACAAUAUAUCCAUCCACGACAAAACUUUCAUUUUUUCCCUCUAUCAAAUGAGCAGCAUCAAAGGUGGUACACUUGUAGUGGCUUGGCUAAAUGCAGCUACAUUAUAAAGUCAACAUAAUUUUUGAUUUGUCAAGAGCAUUUCUUUUCUAUUAUUUAUGGUAGAGGAUAAAAGUGCUAAUAAAAUGUAAGGUUACUGCUGAAGUAAUUAUGUUUUUGACUAGGUAUGCUUUUCUCUCUCUCUCUCUCUCGAGAAUUUCAAAUAAGACCAUGUUGAUUGUAUUUCUUGACAUGUCAUGUGCACGUUGGAGAUUAUACAUAUACUUUGCAAGUGUUUAGUUUGUUUUGAAAGUUAUACGUUUUAUGUUUUGAAUUAAUUGUCUGUUUUAUCUUUAUUUUUGAAAUGUGUGUCAACUUAUUUCCUUCAGGUAAAGGAAAAGUUGUUUUUGAACGAAUCUUGAUUUUUGAAUUUGUGCUUGAAAUAUCUUUAAUGUUUAACAUGUUUUAUUAGCUAAUACGUAUGUUAUUAUGUGUAAAUGUUUGUUUUAUAUUGAUAUCAGUUUUACAUAUGGUGUUUUUAGCACAUAUGAGCUAUUGCUAUCCCCAUUCAUUUGUCCACUGGCCUCGGUUAACGUUUUUACAUUUUAAAAUUAAAAUUAAACUGUAAUACACCUAUUUUGCCAAAACAAAUGAUAAAUGCUAGCCCUUGUUUCCUCUGGCCUCGACACCAGACUUGGACAUUUUCACAGAUAGAUGCCCCAUACCAGACAUCUAUUUGUCAAAAAGUCUGGUGUCUGGGCCAGAGUAAUCUCGAGCUAGAUAUAUGCAUAGUCUGGAUCAAAUCUUGGAAGCAAUAUAUUGAAAGCAACGUCUCGACAGCCAUUUUUGAUAAUCUAUUUGAAAUUUAAACUUGUAUGCUACUUCUUCAACUGAUAUUUCAGAAACUAAGUGGGAAUAAUCAGCACAUAGUCCUGACCAAUUCUUGUUAUUCUGGAGUGGAUUUGAAAUCCAAAACAUGCAUACCCAUCUUGGCAGCCAUGUUGAAAAUUCUAUUUGAAUUCCCAUACAAAUUCUACUGAAGUGUUAUAGUAGUAGUGCGUCAAAUGGAGGUGGCCAAAAUGUCCUGUUUCACUUGUGUAGUAAACAUCUUUUCGUUAUGUCUGUUCCUAUUCUCAAUUAACGAGAAAAGGAAAACCUGAAUGCUUUGGUUCCAAAGGAAGACAUUAAAAAAACUUGAUUACUUUUUGUACUUUACAACAAAAUGAAAUGUACAAGAUGAGGUAUGUUUGUGGGUAACCAAGGGGAUAACAUGACUACAGAACAUGUUAAUUAACCCUGGUGGGCUCGUCACUGGUAAAGUACAAUAUCUCGUGUUCAGGUACCACUCUUUUCUGUUACAAGUUGUCUCGAGAACAGCAAAGAAUUCUGCAUCAUGUGUCUAACACACAACCAUGUGAACUGAUUUUAUCAUGAUUUCAUAAUAAAAGUUGAACAUUUGUUGUCAAGUUUUUAAUAUCACUUUACAUUAUGACUCGUGAUUUUACAAUGAGUACCAAGGGUACAGGUUACACAGAUCAAAAUGCAAGCUAUUCCAAACAAAAUGAAAUCUGUCCAAUCUGACCCCUGUGGGACAACGUAUUGGUCCUAUUAACCAGUCUAAUCUGACACUGUAUGCGACAAAACAUAUUGGUCAGAAUAAUCCGUCUAUAAAUCUUACAUGUGGUUUUCUUCAUAUGUAGGACAGGUCAAAAUACUCUCUGCAAGUUUUUCUAAUAGUUUUCAUAAUGGGAUCACAUGAUUUAUUUGGAUGACAAGAUAUAAGUGAUCAGAUCAGACAGGUUUUAUCAAUAUACAAAACAAAAAGUUUAAAUGCAUGUAUCCGCAUUAUGAAUACCCAAGUAAUAUAUCUUUCAUCCGUUUAUGAUGCACCCAGACUACGUAGUGGAUCCCACCUUUAAAAAAAUAUGGGCACGUCCAUAUUUAUCGUGAAUGAUGGGCUGUAAAACUCUUCAAUUUUGCCAAUAAGAAUUGUAUGUAAUUGAUUUCAUUUUGCAAAAUGAACAAUGUACUAAAUAUAUCUAUUGUUUAAAUAUGUGUAAGUAAAUACAGUACACCUGGAUGAUUUUUGGAAUUAACCUUUCGACUAAACAUCCCUCCCAACCUGCCCUCUUACGCACACACUUUCAGUUCAACACAAUGUGGAGAUCUGGAUGAGUUUGGAAACCCUUUAGCUUAAUACCCCCUACCCACUCUCUUACACAUGCAUACUUUCAUUUCAUCAAGCACUUUUGAUGCAUAAAGCAAUUCAUUUCAUCUGCAAUGAAUGCAAAUUAUUCAGCAAAAUUGCUGCAGCAAAAACAAAAGAAAAAAGUUAAUUUAACUUUAUGUAGUAAAAAUAGCAUAAAUACUAGCAGAUCUCAUGUUCAUGUGAAAUUCAAUCCAGAAAAUGUUCUCCACACAUGAUAGACAUUGUAUUUAGGUAUAAUUGUGAUUAGGUGUUACUGUCUCCCACUACACGGGGUCGGUACUACCUGGUGAUCAUGAUUUCCCAGACAAAAGCAACUAAUUGGACUUUAAAUUUUUUAAAUGUUAACGUAACAGAUUUAUUCCAACUAUAAAAAAGGGAGGAUAAUUCUGUGAAAACAUCAAGAAGUUAAAGACAUAAUGACUAGUGUCAAAUUAGGUCUUCAGUCAACAUACAAAUAUUUACAGGAAACUCAAACUGAACAUAUAACUCAAGUCACUAACCACAUAAGUCAAAAUCUUCUAGAUUGUUCAUCCGACUAUCACACAUUACCUCCCACACAACACAGUAGUUCUGGGGCCUCUUUGUUUACAGCCAGAUCAGCUUAAUCAGUUGUUAAUACAAAUUUCAAAUUCUUCAAUUUUUGACAGGAAUUUCAGAAUUUAUGCAUAUUUUUGUUUUGUAUUCAGAUGAUCAAUAUGAAAUUCUACAUGCUAUUUUAAGGAUACCUGUAUCACUGCCAAAAAACUUACUUACGGUAUGUAUACAUACUGGAAACAGAUUUUGUUGACAUUACUGUAGCUUUGAUAAAACAAGAGGCCCAUGGGCCUUAACGGUCACCUGAUAUAUUUAUACAGAGAGUUGAUUUUGU